rnacentral:rRNA from 1 species
CGGGGAGCUUACACAGGUUGCUGCAUGGCUGUCGUUCAGCUCGUGUCGUGAGAUGUUCGGUUAAGUCCGCUAACGAGCGCAACCCUCACUGUGUGUUACAAGUGUCACACGGGACUGCCGGUUUUAAGCCGGAGGAAGGCGAGGAUGACGUCAAGUCAGCAUGGCCUUUAUAUCUUGGGCUACACACACGCUACAAUGGUCUGUACAAUAGGUUGCCAAGCCGCGAGGCGGAGCCAAUCCUAAAAGCAGGCCUCAGUUCAGGUUGCAGGCUGCAACCCGCCUGCAUGAAGAUGGAGUUGUCUAGUAACCGCAGGUCAGCUAUACUGCGGUUGAAUACGUUCCCGGGUCUUGUACACACCGCCCGUCACGUCAUGGAAGCUGGCAACACCUGAAGCCGGUAUCCUAACCGCAAGGAGGGAGCCGUCGUAGGGUGGGGUUGGUGACUGGGACG